rnacentral:lncRNA from 1 species
CUUGGUAUCAUAUUUUUUUUUUCAAUAAGAGAGACAUUCAUGUUUUCUGUCAAUAUUUCUCAUUAAAACGGUUAAAAUAAGCGGAUAGAAUGGGAUUUAUAUUUGGUGGUUUUCUCUCUCAUAUUUAUUGAAAAUACAAUUCAUAUGCUAAUAUAACAAUUCUUUUGGAUUUUCCUCUCAAAAUUUUGCUUAGUGGAAUUUUCUUCAAACUUUUAUUGGUCCCCUUUUUUUAGUCGAUUGUUCGAUUUACCAUUUUUUUAUUUACUUCAUUCUCCUUGUUUGUUUUGUUAAAGUGAAUAGGAUAAUAAGCAAUUAACAAAACUUGUAACUUAUUAAUUUAUAAAUUUGAAUUUUGCGUUAAUAUAGUAUUGAGUGAAAAAGUGGUAAAUAGAAUUAGGAAAUAUGAAAGAAA